rnacentral:rRNA from 1 species
GUUGUCCAGAAAAUGAAUAUUAGUUCAGCUUUAAAAAAUACCAAAAAUAUGAACAAAUUAUAAUGUAUUUUUAAAAGUUAGUCUAAAAAGGUACAGCCUUUUAGAAAUGGAUACAACCUUAACUAGAGAGUAAACCCUAACAUCAAACCAUAGUGGGCCUAAAAGCAGCCACCAAUUAAGAAAGCGUUAAAGCUCAACAAUAAAAUAAUACUAAUUCCAAUAAUAAACAGUCAACUCCUAGUCUAAUACUGGACUAAUCUAUUAAAAAUAGAAGCAAUAAUGUUAACAUGAGUAACAAGAAAUAACUUCUCCCCGCAUAAGUUUAAGUCAGUAUCUGAUAAUAUUCUGACUAUUAACAGCAAAAUAAGAAUAACCUAACUAUAAAUAACUUAUUAACUAUACUGUUAAUCCGACACAGGAAUGCACUUAGGGAAAGAUUAAAAGAAGUAAAAGGAACUCGGCAAACACUAAACCCCGCCUGUUUACCAAAAACAUCACCUCCAGCAUAACUAGUAUUGGAGGCACUGCCUGCCCAGUGACGACCGUUAAACGGCCGCGGUAUCCUG